ACUCUAAGUCAAAGUCUCCCUGGCUCAAGCCCUUUUCUUCCACUGAGACCCUCUGCGGGAGAGUCUGUGCUGAAUCUCAGGUAAUCAGAGGAGGGUGGUGAAGAGGGCAGAACUGAAGAACAUCAAAGUCCCAGCAUUCAAGAUAGGCAUCUCUCACCUUGAAGUCUUUUAAAAACUCCAAAGGGGCAAAAAUAAAAGCCCAAAGACAAA
rnacentral:lncRNA from 1 species